UACGGAGGGUGCGAGCGUUGUCCGGAAUCACUGGGCGUAAAGGGCGCGUAGGCGGCGCGGGAAGUCAUCGGUGAAAGCUCAGGGCUCAACUCUGAGUCGGCCGGUGAUACUCUCGUGCUUGAGCACUGUAGAGGCAGGUGGAAUUCCGGGUGUAGCGGUGGAAUGCGUAGAGAUCCGGAAGAACACCGGUGACGAAGGCGGCCUGCUGGGCAGUAGCUGACGCUGAUGCGCGACAGCGUGGGGAGCAAACAGG
rnacentral:rRNA from 1 species